UUCAGCAAGUUUGUUUAUUUUAUCACUUUAAAGUUUAUCGCUUUUUAUGGAAUAAGAAUUUUUUUCUGAUUUCACCUCCCAAUUAUCUCUCUCUUCCUUUUCAUUUUCAUCUUUUCUAUGUACAUAUGGUUUUUGUAAUUAUGAUUUAGUUCUCUCUUUUAAUUAGAAAAUAGAAAUUAGAAACUGAAAGGGGUUACUAUUGAUAUACUGAUAGUGUGAUGACAUGAUACUAAUAUGUGGAUUUUUUUGGUUUAUGAUUGGUAGGUUGGGGCGGCCAUUUUGUUACAAAGAGAAGGUACCAUUUCAUCAUCCCGAUGGACAACUGGUGGCAUAAAUCCUUAAGUGAAGGUGCUCUUGACAGUCAGAAUCAUCAUCUCUUGCAUGGGGUUAUUCACUGCAAUGGAUACGGGCAUUUGCUUUGUAUUAAUGGCGUAGAAGGGGGUUCUAAGGUUCUCAGUGGGAGAGAGAUCGUGGAUCUCUGGGACAGGAUCUGCAUCAAUCUUCGAGCAAGGAAAAUUGGAGUGGAAGAUGCUUCAUAUAAGAGGUCUAUGGAUCUUCGUUUACUUCAUGGAGUUGCUUAUGGGCACUCUUGGUUUGGUAGGUGGGGCUAUAGAUUUUGCCGUGGAAGCUUCGGUGUAACUGAGCAAAAAUACUAUGAAGCAAUUGAGGCUCUUGCUACUUUGGAGCUUGAAAAGAUUGUAAAAGAUUUCAGCAAGACAAAUUGCUUACUUCAUAAAGAAAUCAAACAAAUGAUUCGCUACUACAGAGAUAUGAGUGAAGCUCAGAUUAUCACAAUCAGAGAUCUUCUCAGGUUUAUGCUUACUGUCAGGUCUCGUUCUCGUGCUCCUGUGUCCAAGAUAACAGACAUUUCUUCUGCUGCUGCUCCUCCCAUGAAGGAAAAAUCUGCUGCUAGGUAUAAGAAGUUCAGCUGUGCAGUGACUUGUAUGGAUAGCAGGUGGCCAACACGGAGACUAGAGUUUGCAGCUCAAGUGAUUGUGGAUGCACUUAAAGAGAACAAGGCUGCCAAAUCAGGUUCUUGUGGGAUGACAAGACAAGAGGUGAGAGAUGCAGCUCGGCUCCAUAUUGGUGAUACAGGCUUACUGGAUUAUGUGCUGAAAUCACUUAACAAUGUGAUUGUUGGAAAUUUUGUUGUUCGUCGCAAGGUGAACCCGUCAACUCAUAUCCUGGAAUAUACUAUUCAUGAGCUUGGCAAUGAGUUCAAAGCCCUGGAGCCUCCUGGGGUAAUGGCUGUUGUAGAAUCAUCUUGGGUUCCUGGUAAUGAUGUCUACAACGAUGUGUUUUAUUUGUACAAAAAUGUACUUUUAGGCUACCCUGAUUCAGAACCAAUGGACUUGGUAGCUCAGACAAUUCUUGACAGCAGGCAUUUCGUGAAGGAGUGGGCUUUAAGGGAUGAAAUGGGGCAGCAUGUAUUGAAAUUCAUUUGCCACUUGAAGGGAAAUUUUAUGGACACUAAGUCUGAGUUGGGCGAGAUUGUUAUGGUUCCACUGCAUGCAACAGUCGGAGACUUGAAGCUAGCUGCUGAGGCUGCUCUGAGGGAUACAUACUGCAUUGCAGAAGGACUUAUAGUGACCGAAAUUGCAGAAUUGAUGGAUGUAGGUGAUGAGGAAGUCCUUUUUGGACUAAUCCAGUCUGGUAUGGAACUUUCUGUAAGGGGUAUUGCCAUAGAUUUGUGCACUCCAUUGAAGUAUCAGAGAGGGGCUGGCAAUUGGAAGGUGAGGUGUGAAUGUGGUGCUUGUGACGAUGAUGGGGAGAGAAUGGUGGCUUGUGACAUAUGUGAAGUGUGGCAGCAUACACGCUGCUGUGGCAUCCAUGACUCAGAGACAGUGCCACCACUGUUUAUGUGCUCUAGCUGUUGUGAUUCGCUCGUACCCCCAAGGAUUGAAUCCGGCUUCAGUGUGGAUUGUGUUGAUGAUUUUCUGAUUCCAACAGAGCCUACCCACUUACUGGAAUAUGAAAUUCGAGUUCGUUUAUAUGCGUGGACUGUCAGUCAGUGUGGAGUUCGAUGAUUUUGAAGAUGCUCCUCAAAUUGAUAAUUGGGACAAAGUCUCUUAUAUCAAUCGACCUGUUGAUAUUCAUAAGGAGGAUGGUUAAUACUUCAGCUUAAAUGAUGCAGUAAAAAGACUAGUGCUUGAGUUUUUUCCUGGAAGUUCCUCUGUUGAUGAAGGAGAUGCUGGCAUCAACCAAAGUGCAGAAGAGGGAGAAAAUUCAUGUGAUGGUUCAUCUUGUCACCGGUGCACUGGAGAUUGCUGAAAUCAAGUUUGUAUGCAUUCAAGGGAUAGAACCAAUUUUGGAGAUACCUUUUUCUUGGGUGGUUAACAACUUAAUGAAUCAUGAGUAUUAUCUUCACAUGAGUGUUUGCUUGAAAUUUUCAGAGCUCAAUGCUGUGCAAUAGAUACAAAUUUGAUUUUGUUGGGCAUAUAUUUACCCAGAACCUCAAAAGAUAUGCAAUUCUUUUGUCCAUAAAUGUACAGAACGAUUUCAUAUUGUAUUCAUUUCAAAAUUCGUUGGCUAUUUUCUU